GGUAAUCAAAGCAACACAUGCAUUCAUUAACAACCCAUGCUUGCUACUAUGUCCCAAAUGAGCUCUGUACACAUUUGAAGUUCAUUAGUUUUCUAGCAAAAUAAUUUGCUGCCAUGAUAAAAUGGGUUAACAUAAAUGCAGCUUAGUUGUUGUCGGAAACGGAUGCUCUUAUCGCCUCGUCAAGAUUUUCUGUGUGUAAAACUAUCUAGUUUCUUUUCCUUUCCCAGACAAGCAUGCUUUUGGGCUGUCAUGCAUGGGUACCUUAAUAAUUUUUAAAUGGCUUAGAAAAUUUAAUCUUCAAAUAAAACAUCUGUGAAAUGGCCAGAGUCACCUGUCCUUGGCUGGAAAUACUCGUGGUUACCAAGCAUGAAAGGAGGGAAUUUUCCCAUGAGAGCGUAGCAGGAAUAAUUUAGGUCAGAAAAGGUUUAUUGUGACAUUUCAUCCUGGCUGUGGC